CGAAACAACCGCACGAGCGUGGCGCCGAGAAACAUUCAACAAGUGGGAAGGCUGACGUGGGCUGGGAGACUUGGCACGACGCCAUUAUGAGCACAUGUACCAUGCACCAGAAAACUCUGUGCCAUGCGAACUUUAAGGACAUCGACAUCAGUAGCGAGGAUAUGGCGUACCUACAUCGAACGCUCGUGCUCGGCUCGAGCGUCUAUACCUGGUCCAGCGGCACGGUCUCGCUCAAAUCUGAACCACUACACCGAGCUCCGACAUGUCACGUGCCACACCGACUCAGAGUCCUGUCGCAAUGGGGCCGCCGCAAACGGGAAUCGAACUUCACCUUCAGCGGCACAACCACAGAGCAACUGCUGCGUGUGUUCGCAGGAGCUGCGGUUACAGUGAAGUAGGAAGAGUUCACCGUACUGCGGUGUCGGACUGCGUGCUUGGUGAACCAUUUGGGGUCGUCAGAAGGUGAAUAAAAUGUGUUCCCCCUUUUC